rnacentral:tRNA from 1 species
UCCCCAGUGGCGCAAUCGGUUAGCGCACGGUACUUAUACGACAGUGAUCUGUGAGCAAUGCCGGGGUUGUGAGUUCGAGCCUCACCUGGGGAA